rnacentral:rRNA from 1 species
UACGAAGGGGGCUAGCGUUGCUCGGAAUUACUGGGCGUAAAGCGCACGUAGGCGGAUCUUUAAGUCAGGGGUGAAAUCCUGGAGCUCAACUCCAGAACUGCCUUUGAUACUGAGGGUCUUGAGUUCGGGAGAGGUGAGUGGAACUGCGAGUGUAGAGGUGAAAUUCGUAGAUAUUCGGAAGAACACCAGUGGCGAAGGCGACACACUGGCUCACUACUGACGCUGAGGCGCGAAAGCGUGGGGAGCAAACAGG